rnacentral:rRNA from 1 species
GUGUCAGCAGCCGCGGUAAUACAGAGGGUGCGAGCGUUAAUCGGAAUUACUGGGCGUAAAGGGUGCGUAGGUGGUUACGUAAGUUAGGUGUGAAAGCCCCGGGCUUAACCUGGGAAUUGCGCUUGAUACUGCGUGGCUAGAGUACUGUAGAGGAAGGUGGAAUUUCCAGUGUAGCGGUGAAAUGCGUAGAUAUUGGAAGGAACAUCGGUGGCGAAGGCGACUUUCUGGACAGAUACUGACACUGAGGCACGAAAGCAUGGGGAGCAAACAGGAUUAGAUACCCUCGUAGUCC